GACCUGCUUUCAAGUUUUCAAUGAGGGUUCAAAACACAAGGACCUAAAGUGAGAAAGCGAUGAGUGAUUUGGAAGAACAAGAAGGUACAAAGGAAGCCUGCAGUGGCUUGAAAGCUGAACUUAUAUCCUGUUUAAGGAAAAGUGAUUGCAUGAAAAAGGAAGGAAAAGCCUUGAAAGAAUGCAUGGCAGCAGAUGCUAACGUGGAUGCGGAAUGCAAACAAACACAAUAUUCAUUUUUUGAAUGUCGGCGCUCUAUGCUUGAUAUGAGAAAUCGAUUUCGUGGAAGAAAAGGUUAUUAAUUAUAAAACAAGACACCAGUACCAAUUAAAGUUGGUGCGAGUUGAUGAAUUAUGGAUGUUUAUUAUAUGGAAAUAUUACUGACAAAAACACGCAAAAGAAGCAAAUAAGUUGUUUGUUUCCACAGCGUGCAAUUUGACGGCAGCCCUAUUUGUUUUGAUUUAACCUUAUCGCUUUCGUUUAAUUUUUUGUAAUCAAUUUCACGCGAGUCUUUUAUGCGACGAACUUUCAUGAAAUGUUAUUGACAACGUCGCUGCAGAUUGUCCUCAUUCUUGUCCCUAUUAUGCUUUUGUUGCACUGUUUAAUUAACGUGCGUCAGGGUGUUUGUUUAAAUAAGCACACUGAUGCGCCUUAUUCCUGACUUUUCAACCUGAAUUAAAAGAUUGCAUAACUUUUUCUUAAUUAAAUAAAAUCUUGAAUAAAGGGUUGUUCUGUAUUCUUUUGGAGGGAGUUUCUCUGAAAUAUCCCGCUCAUUGCUUUUUCACGACCAAAUGUUUGUAUUAGUCGUUAUUCUUCUAUAAUGUUUGUUUUUUUCUGUUAUUUAGAAUAAUAUAAAAAAAAAAUUGUGAACGAGUUUUCCUGAGGGACAAAAAUUGUGGUUUUGAUAAAUAUAUACACGAAAAGUAUAGUUAUAAUUGUAUUGCGAGUGCAACAUAUAGAGUUGAAGCAGCUGUUUUUAGAACGGUUGCCACGACUACAAAGCAUAACAUAAACUUCGUCACGGUUGAAAAUAUUGUAAAGAUUUGGAUGAGGGUCAACUGAAAUUUAUUGUGCAGAUAAAAAGUCUUCUCAACAUGCAGCACUCGUGUUAUGAUCUUGGAUUCUUCGUCUGCCGGUCGUUCACGGUUACUCUUGUAAACGCGAUAGUGUUUGGAAUAAAACACUAAAUUUGCGAUAGUUUUUGGAGUAAAAAACUACUUACUCUCAAAAAAACACCGAAAAUUUUUGCUACAAUUUCUCUCAAAAUGUUUCUCUUAAAAAGCGCUUGUAAAUUAAAUUGUUUACGAGGACGUUGCACCAGUAAUAGUAGUUACAGAGGGCAUAUUGAGGAGAAUUCAGAAGUUUGACCUCUCAGACCUACUUUGUGCAAUACUCCAUUUUCCAUAUCAAUUUUGCCGUAAAUCAAAAC